rnacentral:rRNA from 1 species
CGACCCUGACUGUUUUCGGAUUGAUAAUAAGCCAUGCGAGUCAUGGUAGCAUACAAAGGCAUACGGCUCAGUAACGCGUAGUCAACCUAACCUAUGGACGGGAAUAACCUCGGGAAACUGAGAAUAAUGCCCGAUAGAACAUUAUGCCUGGAAUGGUUUAUGUUCCAAAUGAUUUAUCGCCGUAGGAUGGGACUGCGGCCUAUCAGUUUGUUGGUGAGGUAAUGGCCCACCAAGACUAUUACAGGUACGGGCUCUGAGAGGAGUAGCCCGGAGAUGGGUACUGAGACACGGACCCAGGCCCUAUGGGGCGCAGCAGGCGAGAAAACUUUGCAAUGCGCGAAAGCACGACAAGGUUAAUCCGAGUGGUUUCUGCUAAAGAAACCUUUUGUCAGUCCUAGAAACACUGAUGAAUAAGGGGUGGGCAAGUUCUGGUGU